rnacentral:rRNA from 1 species
UACGUAGGGCGCGAGCGUUAUCCGGAAUUAUUGGGCGUAAAGAGCUCGUAGGCGGUUUGUCACGUCUGCUGUGAAAACUGGAGGCUCAACCUCCGGCCUGCAGUGGGUACGGGCAGACUAGAGUGCGGGUAGGGGAGAUUGGAAUUCCUGGUGUAGCGGUGGAAUGCGCAGAUAUCAGGAGGAACACCGAUGGCGAAGGCAGAUCUCUGGGCCACUACUGACGCUGAGAAGCGAAAGCAUGGGGAGCGAACAGG